UAAGUAAAAUGAAUGACGACAAUAAUACAAGGGAUGGGAAAGAGGAAUUAAGGUUAUUUUACUACUAUAAGGUACUCUACCCAUAAAGCAUUAUAUUUUAUUUUAAUGUGAGCUUGGAUUAGUUGUAAAUGUAUAUUGCAAACACUAGGGCAAACACACACACACAAAAGUGAAAAAAAGAGAUUGUUGGUAGAAAUGCGAAAUGGUACAGCCGCUCUGUUAGAUUGUUUGGCGUUUCUUACUAAACUAAAUGUUCUUCCAUAGGAUCAAUCGACCACACACUUUGGUGUUUACUCAAAGGAGUUUUCCACACAAAAACCUGCACAUGGAUGUUUAUAGCAGCUUUAUUCAUAAUUGCCAGAACUUGGAAGAAACCAAGAUGCCUUUCAGUAGAUGAAUGGAUAAAUGGUGGAAUAUCCAGA
rnacentral:lncRNA from 1 species